rnacentral:rRNA from 1 species
UACAGAGGGGGCAAGCGUUGUUCGGAAUUACUGGGCGUAAAGGGCGCGUAGGCGGCCUUCUAAGUCGAACGUGAAAUCCCCGGGCUCAACCCGGGAACUGCGUCCGAUACUGGAAGGCUUGAAUCCGGGAGAGGGAUGUGGAAUUCCAGGUGUAGCGGUGAAAUGCGUAGAGAUCGGGAGGAACACCAGAGGCGAAAGCGGCAUCCUGGGCCAAGCCUGACGCUGAGGCGCGAAAGCGUGGGGAGCGAACCGG